GACGAACGCUGGCGGCGUGCUUAACACAUGCAAGUCGAACGGUGAAGCGCCUUCCUUUUUGGUGGGUGUGGAUGAGUGGCGAACGGGUGAGUAACACGUGAGUAACCUGCCCCCUUCUUCUGGAUAACCGCAUGAAAGUGUGGCUAAUACGGGAUAUUCUGGGUCUGUCGCAUGAUGGGUCUGGGACAGAUAUUGUUUCGGUGGGGGAUGGGCUCGCGGCCUAUCAGCUUGUUGGUGGGGUGAUGGCCUACCAAGGCGGUGACGGGUAGCCGGCCUGGGAGGGUGGACGGUCACACUGGGACUGAGACACGGCCGAGACUGCGACGGGAGGCAGAAGUGGAGAAUAGUGCACAGUGGGCGCAAGCCUGAUGCAGCGACGCCGCGGGAGGGAUGGAGGCCUGCGGGUUGUGAACCUCUUUCGCCAGUGAAGCAGGCCUGCCUCGUUUGUGGGUGGGUUGACGGUAGCUGGAUAAGAAGCGCCGGCUAACUACGUG
rnacentral:rRNA from 1 species